ensembl:piRNA 21ur-2437 ncRNA
UAUAAUACUGCUUCCUUCUGU